rnacentral:rRNA from 1 species
UACGUAGGGGGGCUAGCGUUGUCCGGAAUUAUUGGGCGUAAAGAGCUCGUAGGCGGUCUGUCGCGUCUGCUGUGAAAACCCGAGGCUCAACCUCGGGCCUGCAGUGGGUACGGGCAGACUAGAGUGCGGUAGGGGAGAUUGGAAUUCCUGGUGUAGCGGUGGAAUGCGCAGAUAUCAGGAGGAACACCGAUGGCGAAGGCAGAUCUCUGGGCCGUAACUGACGCUGAGGAGCGAAAGCGUGGGGAGCGAACAGG